rnacentral:rRNA from 1 species
GAAUUAAAAAAUUUUUAUUUAUAUUGAAUAUUAUAUAUAUAUAUAUAUAUA